rnacentral:lncRNA from 1 species
AAAUGGAGUGCCAAUUGCUCUUGCUUCGAACUCCUCCACAGAAAAUAUAGAUGCCAAAAUCUCUCAUCAACAAGGUUAUAUUUCUUUUACUUGUUUGAACUUCCACCGGAAAAAAAAAAAAAAAACAAAAAAAGAAACUAAUUGCAUUCUCAAUUGACUCUUAAAUCCUUAACUAUUAAAAUUAUUUUUAUUAAAUACUUUGAUUUGUAAAACUGUACCUAUUAAAUAUAAUUUUACUCAAUUUUCAAUUUCUACCUAAAAAUUUAUAAAUGCGAUACUUUAAUGCUUUUUUUGAUAUAAUUUAUUCAAAUAUGAUUUCACAUUUUUUUAAUCAUUCAAUAAGUGUGUAAUAAGUAUAAUUUUUAUAAAUUAAGUAUUCAACAGGUAUAAUUUUAUAAAUUGAAGUAUUAAAGUAAUUUAAGAUACAUGCAUUAAUUUCAGAAUCAAUCGCUUUGUAGUAUAUCCAAGUCAUUUAUUCAUCAUUCAUACAAUUUAAUAUUUAUUCUCAAAUUUCUAUAAAAUAUAUUCAUGUAUUAACACAUUGUUAUUACAAAUUAAAAGGGUAAAGGUAAAUUAAAUAAGAGGUUAGGAUUCAUAAGAUGAAAAUGUGUGAUAUGAGCAAUACUUACACUUGGGUCAAACAAUACUAAAAGAUUAGUACUAACCAAUUAGUUAACUUGCCACCCUCAUAUGCCCGUUAUGGAUUUAUUAUUUAGUUCACAUAGAAUUCUUAACAAUUAUUUAUGGAUUUACACAUCAAUACCGAAUUUAUAUUCAUAGAUAGCAUGUAAUUUAAAUCAUGUAUUUUGAAUUUCAAUUAACGUUCAUAAUCCUCAUAUCAUAUUGCUAUCCAAAAUCACACCUCAGGACUUUUAUGAUUAGCCAAAGCGGCAUCUGAACAUUUAUGAUUUUCAUCAAUUUUAGGCUUUAUACCUCUAAUAAUAUCAAUCUUUUAUAAGAAAAUAAAAAAUUUUAUAUAUAUAUAUAUAUAUAUAUAUAUAAAAUAUCCCUUGUUUAAAAUAUAUGAAUUUCAUAAAAUUUUAUGGAAUGCAUUUAGAAAUCUAUAUUUUUGUGUUUGGAAUAAAAAAAAAGUAUAAAUUUCAAUUCCAAGAAUUUAAAUCCAGGAAUUGAACAUAACUACCUUAAAUCUCACAAAAAUAAGUGAAAUUUUCAAAUGAAUUUCACAAAACUAAACACUCCAAUUUUUUGUGACAAAACUACCCUUUCCUUCUACAACGUCAAUUUUAAAAUUCUUUUUACUUAUUUAAAAAUCUAGAAUAGUGUCUAAAAUAUAAAAUAUGCAAUUCCACAAUAAUUCUACCAAUUGUAGAAAUUAAUAUUAUAAGAGAUAAAAAAAAUAAAAAUCUAAUGGUUGAUUCUUUUAUGAAAUCUUGGUACAAUGAGUUUUAAAACACCAGUUGAAUUAAACAGUCACUCAAAAGUUAAAAUUUUCUCAUGAAGUUCUUUGCAUAUUUAGUUAAUUCUCAGCUGGAGGUAUAAUAUCAAUCACUCGACAUCCCUCAAUGGCUUAAAAAAACAAGAAAGAAGUAAAAAGCAUGAGCACCUGAAUACAGAGAAUUAAACACAUAUAGUCUAUACAUGGAGAAACAAAAAUGAAAAGGAGAAUAAUUGAUUGAUAAUAAAGGAUAAUAUUAGAUUUCAAAAUUAAAUUUAAUUUAGAUUUCAAAAUUGAAUUAAUUUAGAUUUUAUCUGCUUACUGAAUAUUAGAUUAGAUUAAAUUUGUAAAAGAAAAAAAAUAUUCAAAAGUUAUUAAAAAAUAAGAAAAUUUAUAAAAAAAAUAAAAAGUAAAGCUCAAACGAUAGAAUGCCAAGUCAGCUUUCUAGAGUUUUUUUUCUUCGGGAUGGAUGGAUAUAUAUAUAUAUAUUGUAUAUAUAUUAGUUAAAUGAAGAAGACAUUUUACACAUUUUAGGUUUUGAACGGAGACAUUUUAUACAAAUUAAAGAUAACUAUUAUGAUGAAUGUUAUUAAUUAUUUUAUAUAUUAUAUUUAUAUAAUUAAUUAAUUAAUUAGGGUGGAAUGUGAGUGUAUUUAUUUAUAUGAAAUUUAUUAUUUAUAUCUUAGUAAAAAGCAACUUAUGAUAUUGUAUAUAAUAAAUAUAAUUGGUGUUUGUUAUUUGUUUUUGUUAAAUUAUUAUGUCAAUGGUAUUUUAGAAAAUAAAGACAAAUGAAUUUUUAUUUAAGAGUUUAUUCCAAAUAUAGUUUCGUAGAAUUCAAUUGAACUCCUCAUUUUAAAUUAAACAUACCAAAUAUGAUAAAUUCAUUUAUAAAUAAAUUCUACUUGGAAUUCAUUUAUAAAUGAAUUCUUCAUCUAUGAUUCAUUUGUUCCAAACAUAUUGUUGAUGUAGAAUUCUUUUCCACCAUUAAAUUUAGGAUAGAUAAAUAUAAACCAUUUGAUCUAAACUAAACGAAGUGACUUAGAAAUAAGUUAUCAAAAGUAGAGGUUUUCCAUUUUUUUUUUCAAUAUAUCAAAAGUAGUUAAAAUCUAUAAAAAUAGCAUAUUUAUUUUUUAUUUAAUAUCCACCUUUUCUUUCCUGUUAAUAGAUAUAAAAGUAAUUAUUUAAUGGUGUGAAUUUAAAUAUUAUUUUCAAUACAACUAUAAUUUUUUGUCAAAAUAAAUAAUUAUCUAAUAUAUCAAACUCAUUUACCCAAAAUAAAUUAUUUAAAAUUCUAAUAAAUAAUUAUAAAUUUUUAUUUAUUUUAUUCAAAAUUUUUAGCAUGUAUUUAUACAAUUAAAAUUGUAUUAUGUACAUGUCAUUAUCUUUAAUAUAACAUUUUAAAUUGAGAAAACUAAUAAUGUUUGACUUAAAAUUUAUCUCCUUUUAUAAUAUUUAAUAAACCCAUGUGUCCAAAAAAUUAUAUAAAUGGAACCAUAUUAAUUGUAUUUUAUUGUAUUUAUUUGAGUCUUAUGAAAAAUAACUUUAUAUUAAAGUUAAAACAGAAGGUGAGAUUUUAAAUAAUUUAAUUUUUCUUUCGUGUAUAUAUAGAUAAACAAACCAUGUGAGGUUAUUUUCAUAAUAUCUCUUAAAAUGUGCUAAAUUGUAACUUUUGAUUAUGUGAUAAUUUGCAUAAAUAUUUAUAAAUUAAUUUUAGAUGUUCAAAAAAAAAAAUAUUAGUCAAAUAACAAUUGUUAUGCAUAAUAUUUCUUCCAUGGAGUAUGCAAAGUAAAUAUGUACUUAUUCUAUUAUUUUGUUUAAUUUAAUAUUAUGCAUAAAUACUAUAGUAUAAAUACUCUUUUUAUAUUAUUUAUAUAAGAGUAUAAUACUAUUAAAUCAAACCAUAUAAACAAUAUUUAUAGAAUAGUUUAUAAUAUUUCAUUAUGUUUUUGUCACUUACUCUUGCAUACUUUUUAUACUUGUUAUGGAAUAAAAGAGAAAUAGGGAAAAGAAAAUACAGUUAAGAAAUAUAAAAAUAAAUGGCUUAAUAUAUUGUUUCACUCUCAACUUUAGGUUUUGUUGCAAUUUCACUUCAAUUUGGCCUUUAUGUCAAUUUCACCAUGAAUUUAAACCUUCUGUUGCAAUUUCAUUUCAAUUUGACUUUAUACCAAUUUCACCUUGAACUUUGACAUUUUAUUGCAAUAAUACCUUAAAUUAUAAUUAGGACUUAAAUUGUAAAUAAAAAAUAGAUUCAUUUUUUACUUUAGACUUGGAUUAACUUAAUACAUUUAUGUGAGUGAAGGAAUUUGGGUUAAUAGUAUGGACAAUUUCUAUUAUUAUUUUUAAUAUUUUUAUAUUGUUUCUUUAAUUGAUAAUAAAUAAUAUUUAAAAAUUAAUUUUUUGAUACAUGAAUGUUUUUUUUUAAAUAGAACAUAAUUAUUUUUUAUAUUCCAUUUUGAUAAAAAAUGCUACAAUUUCUAAUAGUUUAGGAGUCAAAUAAAUUGAUAGUAGCUUUAUUUUAGAUUUUAUAAUUAUUUUAAAAUUUAUAUUAAAAUCCAACCAUAAUAAUAAUUAUAUUCUAAUUUUUUUAAAAAACAAAAGUUCAUAUUUCAAAUAAUUCAUUUUUAAAUAUUACUUAUCAUCAAUAAAAGAAAGAAUUUAAAAUAUUAAAAUAAUAAUAGAGAUUGUCCUUAUUAUUAAUCUAAUCUCUCUGAUUAAUCGAUCGAGCCCUAGAUUAAAAGUGAAUCUAUUUUUUAUUUACAAUUUAAGUCUUAAUUAUAUAAUUUUUGGUGUGCUUUGUUUGGAAAUAUCAUUUGUAGAGAAAAAAAAAAAGAUCAUUUGUGUUGGUAAAAUCAAUUGGUUAUAUUAAGAAGGUUGCUCAUAUUUACAGAGAAAUUAAUAAAUGUGCUGAUUGGUUAUCUAAGGAGGCUUCUUCUCUACCUUAUUGAGUUUAAGUUCUUAAAGAUCCUCCUCCUAAUUUAUUGCCUUUUGCUUAGUUAUGAUGGUCAUAGUAUAGCUGUUAGUGUUUACUGGUAGAGUUUCUAGCUAGUUUUGUUUAAUUCUCUCUUUUACUUUUUAAUUAAAGGGAAAUUAAUUAUUUAGUCCUUCAUAUACGACGAAAUUAUCUAAAUAAUGUUUUCAUUUUGAAUAAAUAUUCAGCGUGUCCCUCGUGUUUGCUUACGUGAUUCUGAGUAGUUUUUCUGUCUAAUUUUGAAAAUUUUUUCCGUUAAGACAUAAGAAAAUGACUAAAAUAGUCAGGGCAAUAUGAAAGCUACGUACCUUCUCUCCCUCCCCGCCAUAUUCGCCUGCACUGCCUCCACCAUCGCCGCUUCUGCCAUUACAUCGCCACCCUCGCCAUCACCAUCUUCAAAGUCACCAAAAUCUGCAAACUCUUCCAUCACCAUCACCAUCGCCACCGCCUCUGCCUCUGUCUCUAUCUCCAUCUCCACCUCCACCUUCACCUCCAUCUUCACCUCCAGCCCGUUCCCAAAGUCAUCGCUGCUCCUUGCGCUACACACCGGUGACAUCGAAUUCACCGGCGUUGACCGUUCAUUGGAGUUCGUGCCUCUCUGAAGUCUUCUUAAUUCUUGAGCUUCUUUAGCUAUUUAUUUUGUGGAUCUGAAUGGUUUCUUUCAUGGGUUGUCAUUACUUUACUCUAUUUUAUCUCAAAGGCUGAGUUUCAGUUUGGUUCAGCGCUCAGAUCUUGUAUUUUCGACUUUUUUUUGUCUAAAGCUUUGAUUUUUGGACUCUGAUUUGUAUCUAGUUUAAGUUUUUCAUUUUCUGCUUCACCUAUAUCUUGUUAAUUCUACUGUAUGUGCUACUAUCAUUUAUAGAUUUGAAUGUUCUAUUUUUUUUAGGGUUGAACAGAGCAUCCAUGAGUCUGUAAUUUGGAGAUUAAUGCAUUUGCUUUGUUUUCUCAUCAA